GUUAUCGCUGAAGGCUGGAGGCACCUUUGCAACUUGACAGUGGUAACCCGCCUCCCUCUCUCUGUCAGCAGACACUCGCUCAGACCCGGACUGGGAUCAGUUUGCAGGUCGCUACUCCGGCGGCUCAGGAGCGUCGCUCGCCAGCUGUAAAACUUUUGUGUUUCUUCUGUCUGUAGUCAAACCUCUGCGGCGAAGGGUGAUGCGGCUUGCCGGCUACUUUUGUCCUACUACUGAGGAAGUUGCUGCCUAUGGUGUGAAAUAGACUGAAGGCCUGGCGCCCAGCAGCAGAUCACAGUGACCCAGGCUUGAUUGAUCACUGUGGUGGCAGCAGCUUCAUAAACAGGGCCCAUCCAUCAGCCUCUCCUGGGAGCCACUGGAGGGGAAGAGGGGAGAGAGGGAGCCAGGCGGAAAUGUCACCAGGCGCAGAGAGAGGAGAAGAGGCUGGAGGAGAGGGACUAGAGGCCUUGGCCCAAACACUGCUGACCAGAGCAAAGGACGAUUCAACUCAAGUAUUCAUUUUAAUCCGGGACUACAUGACUAAAAGAUCCUGCAAGGCUGAGCAGCUUGCCAGCGUGAAAGCUUAUGACCCUAACAGGACACAGCAGGAGUGAGUCGUCGUGUCUCACACAUAUUGUCAGAAUGUGUGUGCAAACAUGUUGCCUGGUAUGGAAAGUCUGUUGUUCCUGACUCCAUUCCAGCAUGUUCACCCUUUCAUUUUACACUCCUCGACUACAGCUGAGUAUGAACGUGCAUGGCUUUGUGUGUGUGUGCGUGUGCUUGUGUGUGUGUGUGUGUUUGUGAGAAAGAAAGAGAGAGAGAGAGGGAGACCACAAUUUGUGCACAUUUGCACAAUCACUUAUGUAGACAACUUGUCAUGGCUGCUGAGAGAAAAUUUCGGUGAUUGUCUUGUUUGAUAUGAUUAUGAUUCCCAUUUAACGUUUUUAAAAACAAGUUCACUAAACUCAAAAAUGCAUGUUCUUCAAGCAAAAAAUCACACUAUUUAAGUCCUGAAAAAUUGACAUGUUGGAGGUUGACCUGAUAAAAAUAGCACCGUGCUGCGCAGUUUAAAGACUUUUAAAGAAAUUUUUCAUCAGUCAAAAUGGAUUUCAGUUAUGUAUUCCUGCUGUUGCAGAAUUAAACUCUGAAUAAAGUUAACUUUAUUUGGUGAAGAACAUCAUCUUUGCAUUUGGGUAAUUAUGAGUAGGGUAGCUGUUUUGUUCCACAGGUAAGUCCUCUCAGGCCCUGACUUUCCUUUGGGGCACUGCUUAGGUUUAUCCCACUUGAUUGCUCUCUUGGCCACGACACAACACAGCUUCUCUCUCUCACACACACACGCACGCACACACACACACACACACACACUCCAGAGAACUUCCACACUAAGGCCCCACCGCAAAGUUAUUAAUGAGCUGUUUAAUUUUAAUUAGAUAGUAAUUCAUGUUAAUGCCUGCUUAAUGGAGCCAAAUAAUUCCCCUCGGUCACUUGGGGUCUUUAUGCUUCGUUUACCAGCCCCUGCAGUUAUUCUCUGGCUUUUGUUUUUAUAUUACAUUUCCAAGUCUUUUUUUUUUCCAAGCACUGAGUGAAUGAUGAAACAGUAAAAACAGGAAACAUAUGGGGUGAGUGAAGCAUGUGGGUGUGUGUGUUUGUGUGUAAAAGAGUGUGUAACAGUGAGAGAGAAUGCUACAGCAGUAUCCAUAUGUUUGUGUUCAUAUCCCCUUUAUUUAUAUUUCAUUUUUAUUGUAGCACUUGUUUAAUCAACUGUGCUUGUGUCCAUGAAUGUAUGUGCGCAUGUGUGAAAUUACUCCACACACACACACACACUGUCUCUCUCUCUUAAUGCACAGGCCACUACAGUAAAUUCCUUAAGUCAGACCAAAGAAAAGGUCAAACUCAGUAUUGAACACUAAGCAGGGUUAAACCCUCAGGUUGAAGUGCAGGUACCGAGACAUUUUUCAAGAGAGAGGUCAUGACCUUUCUGUCCAGGCCAGGCGUCAAGGUAAAUUGCCCCCGCUUCAUGUCAUGGGUGCAUCCACCACGCUGCUGUUUACCGUGGUGAGCAUUUGUUCGAGACACCCCCCCCUUAAGGUUCAUACAUCGGUAAGGCUGCAUAGGAGUUGACCGCACCAGCUCGGACCUGUGUGUGUGCAUGUAUGCGAGGAGGAGCAAAGGGGUCAAUGUAGAGUCUGUCUCGGUUCUGUCUGGGUGCCUUGGCUCUAACGGAGCACUAAGCUGAGUGGCUGAAUUGAGUUAGUGGCUACAGACAGGCUUUUAAUUGUUGAUUGACCAGUCUGAGUGCUUCCUGGGCUGGGGUCAUUGCCGAGAGCAGGCAGGGAGGUCCCCAGGCCCCAGCGGCAAUUUCAGCCACACACACCCAAGUGCCACAGAGGGGCGGAAAGUGAUGGAGAGGAGGAUGGCAGAAAGGUACUUAGGACACGGCAAAGGGGGGAUAGAUAAGAGCUAAGAGACUUUAGAAAGUUUGAAAAUUUGUUGUGCUUCAUUCUACUUUUUUUUUUUUAUAUAUAUAUGAAGUUUGAUCACAAGCUUUACAAGGGCUGUGCAAUUCAAGCAAGCAAACAGGAACGCAUAUUGGUGACAUCGUUACAGUCGCUGUGAGCAGAGCAGGCUUUGAGGUCCACAGAUUAGCAAGUUCAAUGUUUACCCCUCCACAAAAUCUCAGCUCCUUCAUCUGUUUGACAAUUACAGAUUUACUUUGUACCCGUUCCAUCCACUUCUUUGCCCCUCCACUCCCUCCCUCUUUAUCCUCUCUUCUCUGUCCCCCCCCCCACCCCCCCACCCCCCUCAGCCCUCUUUCCUCUAAUUCUGCACGGGGCCACAAAAGCCCAUUCUGCUGUUUUAGCGGGUUAGCUCUUCUCUCCUCUCCUCCCCUCUUCUCCUCCUCUCCUCCUCCUCCUCCUCCUCCUCCUCCUCUCGGCUCACAGCAGGUGCCCAUCCUCGGCUAACAUUUGUUAUCUCUAAUCCUGCAGGUUCGGCGCACAAAAAGAGCGUAGUAAACUCUCUCUCAGACCUAAUCCCACCACUCCUUUUUUGAUGGCGCUCCCCCUCGCCCUCCUCUCCUCUUUUCUCCCUUCACUAUCUUUCUUUUAGGCUGCUGGGGGGACACUCCACUUCUCUGAUUGCCACAUUGCUUUUUAUCACCAUGGCCUUCAAUUUGGGGGGCAGCUGUUGGUGGUGGGGGUGUCCUUUUUUUCCUUGUUCUUUAUACCUCCGAUUCCAACUCACUUUUUCCUUUCUCUUUCCCUCUGUCUCCUUUUUUGCCCCCUUCUCCUUCUCUCUCUGUAUCAUUUACAGUCAUUUUCUGGCAAUUAAAAUGGAGCGCUGCUGCAGGAUUUUCGCCUGCAGUGCAACACUACAGUACUGAUGAAUAAUUCUUCACCCUGCAAACUGGAAAGCUAGCCUUUCUUUCAUGUCGGCCCUUUGUUGAUUUACCAUUAAAACUUACUGCACCGUGCUAUGAGCGAAGGGCCCGGCUCUGCGGGAACUGGCAAAAAGCAAAACUGAGGAUGAAGCAGAUAUGUGUACAUAUGCUUUAGGGUCAUUUUUUUUCAGCCUAGGAUGAGGAAGUCUCUGAGUUACGUAUGUGAGUUGUAUAUAUUUGUGUUUAUGGUUUAGAUUUAUGAUGCCUGAACCUUUUUAUUUAUAUUCACUGUCUCGUUCUGUACCAUUUAGGUUUUAUGUUAAUUUUUCUUAUCAACGGUUUUCAUUAUGGGGCUUAGCUGUAUUGUGUGAGUGAUUAGACGGUCAUUCAUCUCUGUUCCUCUUUCUCGCACACACAGACACACUCUUUCUCACCCUCUCUCUCUCUCGAUCACACACACACACACACACACAGAGCGAGCAGUGACUGAUGUUUGGAUGGAGUGUGUGGGGUGCUCGGGCUGCAGAGGCGGGGUGGUGUUGGCAGUUUGUUAAAUGACGUGGGUCUCCAGGCCAGCCCAGCUCUGCGUUGUUUUAUGUUAGUAACAUCCUGGAGUGGACUAUUCACCGCUUUGACGACUUAGGUUUAUUUGUUUAUUGUUCCAGUGAGGAAAAAAAGUUUACAUUUGAUAUAUUUAGAUGAAGGUAACUAAAAACACAAUAAAAUAAACACACUAGAUAGAUAUAUAGAUAUAGAUGACACUGAUCAAUCAUCACAUAUUAAUCUUAUGUACCUACAGUAUAUCCUGAUUGUAAUUACAGUUACUUAGAGUACUACUACUGUUAAAUCUAAAUCACUGUUUCUGAGAAAACCUGAGUAUCAAUGAUUAUUUUUUGAAACGAAAAAAACAAGCCAAGGUUACGUUUUCCUUGCAAGAGAUUAAAUCAUCAAAUAAUUACUAUCUUGUUUGGAGCACAUAGUAUUUUUUAAGCAGUUUAAAAAAAAAACUGCUUAAAAAUAUGCUUCAUUAGAAAAGCAAGAAGUAGAGUUACCUUCUUCUAAAUCACAAUGAAAACUCUUUAAAAGGAAGUGAGGUUGGAUUUUUGCAAUGUGUCUUUCUUCAGCACUAUCCUAUCUUCUACUGACAGUCAGUGUUUGUUUGUUUUUUAACUAGCCAUGAAUACAGUCUUUACCUGACCAUAACCAAGUAGUUUUAUUUGCCUAAACAUAAAUUUUGUCUUACCACCAGGGGCACUAGAUCAGCAAAACACCCCUGAGUCAUUUUGUUUUUCUAGUCAAUUACCACCUGCAACCUCCAGUCAGAGGGCAGCAGGUUAAAUUAAUUUUACAGGUGAUGAGUUUAGCUGGAGAGAAUGUUGCCCAGUUUAGUAAUUAUAAUAAAUGAACAAGACGCCCAAGACACGGGAAAAGGGAGAAGUUUGAGGAGCUUUAACCCCGGCUUGAGGGGUUGAAUUAGGGCCUGAGAAGAAGCAGCUUCACGCCAUGUCAUCUGGCUGAGCAGUUAUCUCCUAGUCAGUUAUAUGGGCUUCAGCAUAUUGAACAGCAAAUAUGAACAUGCGCUCACUCUGAUCUACUGACAGGCACACACAUGAGCAAGCAAACACUCCGACACACCCACACACACACACACACACACACACACGCACUGUAAGUAAACAAACAAACACUCUAUUUUUCACACUGUCACACUCACAUGGACAUAGUCACACACUGAAGAGAUAAUGGUGGCCAGAGGCGGUCUUAGUGCUCUCUCUUUCUCUUUCUCUCUCUCUCUCCCUCCAUGUCUCUGAGGCAGAAAGCGUGCUCCGGUCGUCACUGUCUGUUAGAUUUGAUCACCAUCACCCAGCUGCAACGGACAGUGCACGGCUAAGCUCAGCCAUUGGCACACACACACACACACAUACACACACUCAGCUACUGUGCCAGAGGAUAUGCAGUGUCUGACACCUCUAAAUAAGUGUUUACUCUGUGUGUGUGUCUGUUAGUGUGUGUAUCUGUGCAUGUGUAUUUGCCUUUGCAUCUUAUUUGUCUGUAUGGUUGCCUCUCCAUCCAUCCACACCGUGUGUGUGUGUGUGUGUGUGUGUGUGCCACACGACAACAUGCCUAAGAAAUGUAUCCAAAAUUAUUGUUAUCCAUUCCCUGCCUCUACAUGGUUGUCUUUAUCAUUACCAUAGACAGCAUGUAAUUCCUUGAAAUACAACUGCUCAUUUGAAUUGACAAUGUCCUCAUCAUGUUUAAGCAAGUGAAGUAUAAUUCC